AAUGAACGCUGGCGGCAGGCCUAACACAUGCAAGUCGAACGCCCUAGCAAUAGGCAGUGGCGCACGGGUGAGUAACAUGUGGGAAUAUGCCUUUCGGUACGGAACAACGGUUGGAAACGAACGCUAACACCGGAUACGCCCAUCGGGGGAAAGUUUACGCCGAGAGAGGGGGCCGCGUCCGAUUAGGUAGGUGGUGGGGUAAAGGCCUACCAAGCCGACGAUCGGUAGCUGGUCUGAGAGGAUGAUCAGACACACUGGGACGGAGACGCGGCCCAGACUCCUACGGGAGGCAGCAGUGGGGAAUAUUGGACUAUGGGCGCAAGCCUGAUCCAGCAAUGCCGCGUGAGUGAUGAAGGCCUUAGGGUUGUAAAGCUGUUUCACACGCGACGAUGAUGACGGUAGCGUGAGAAGAAGCACCGGCUAACUUCGUGCCAGCCGCCGCCGUAACAC
rnacentral:rRNA from 1 species